UACGUAGGGGGCAAGCGUUGUCCGGAUUUAUUGGGCGUAAAGCGCGUGUAGGCGGCCACACAGGUCCGCUGUGAAAACUCGAGGCUCAACCUCGAGCUGUCGGUGGAAACCGUGUGGCUAGAGUCCGGAAGAGGAGACUGGAAUUCCCGGUGUAGCGGUGGAAUGCGCAGAUAUCGGGAGGAACACCGGUGGCGAAGGCGGCCUUCUGGACGGAUACUGACGCUGAGACGCGAAAGCGUGGGGAGCAAACAGG
rnacentral:rRNA from 1 species